GGUGAUACGGGAGCAAGGCUGCAU
rnacentral:piRNA from 1 species